CCCAUGUAACUGGUGCUGUGCCCUGUGAUCACAUGCAACCUUCCUGCUCAAAUUGCAGAAUUCUGGAAGGACAGGAUCUUGUUGAUUCGAUUCCCAAGCUGCGUUGAGGUUCAGGUAUGGAGAAGCCACAGAUCUUACCUUAUGUCCUCUUGCAAGAUGUAGAGCUGGAUUUGCAUGAUUCCAGGCCAUAGGUGUCCCGAGGAGCAGGAGAGAAGGAAGAAGAACAGAAAAGCACUGCUGUCUUUGGGUAGAAUGCUUGGAUCUUAAUGUGGCAAUAGGCCAGAGAAACAUCUCCCGCAGCUGCUGAGAUCCCAUCUGGGUAACUGUCAUCAUCAGCUCAUAAGAAGUGGGGGCUCAGGGGACCCUCCCACGUGCCCCAGGAGGCCCUCCAGAAAGUCCUGAAAUGAAUGGACUGACAGUCUUGGAGGGUCACUCUCCUGGUGGACGUAGCCUGGACUGAGCCAAGCUGCAUGUUGACUUCCGGAGGCAGAAUGGCUCCCGGACACCCGGCUCAGCCGGGUGUAGAAGAAGGCGUGCCCAGAUGGGAGAGCAGGUCCUGCAGGGUCAGGGGUGCGUUGCCAGCUCCCUGUCGCACCCCUCACUCUGCAGGGUGUACACCUGUUGGGGCUGAAUGCAAGGGCCAACCUGCUGCCCUUGUGGCGAGCUUCUCAGGCUAUCUAAAUGCAGACAUGUGCCAAAGUUCGUUUUCAGAAGCUCAUAAAAUCACUGAAAACUGGUAGAAGAGUUUUGGUUUUGGUUUGAGGCUGACAGUGUUACACUGAGUAUGAGAAGAGGACUUCCUGAGCAAGGUCAAGGUCUUCAGACCCGCCAACGAGGGUCGACUCAAGCACAUGCCGGCGUUCUCUCCACAUCCCCGUUGGCUCAGCCUCAGGGACUCUGGCUCUCACGGGUGCCUGUGCAAGCCACGCAGCUUUCCACAGAGGCCUGGUUCUUGUUGACUGGCCUUCACGUGGCUCCCCGUAGCCCUUCCGAGCUCCUUCACUCCUCCAGGUGGGAAGGAAUCAUCUGAAUCCCUUUUCUACACCAGUCUUAGUAGCAGGCUAGGCCCAUCUGAGAGGCAGAUCCAUUCUGGGGCUUACUCACCAGGCUCUGGGCCAGAAGGAAGACGGUGGACUCAGGAUGCAGGGGGCUCACCAGCCAGGGGACCUCAGCUGCUGGGUGACACCUACAAAAGGGCACAGGACUUUCGGCCUCAGCCCUCUUCCUUGAAGUGGUCCAUAGCAGCCACUCUGGGAAUAUGGCUGCGGGAGUCUCCUAAGUCAGAG
rnacentral:lncRNA from 1 species